rnacentral:rRNA from 1 species
UACGGAGGAUCCAAGCGUUAUCCGGAUUUAUUGGGUUUAAAGGGUGCGUAGGCGGCCUGUUAAGUCAGAGGUGAAAGACGGUAGCUCAACUAUCGCAGUGCCUUUGAUACUGACGGGCUUGAAUAAACUAGAGGUAGGCGGAAUGAGACAAGUAGCGGUGAAAUGCAUAGAUAUGUCUCAGAACACCGAUUGCGAAGGCA